rnacentral:rRNA from 1 species
CAGUCGCCGCGGUAAUACGUAGGUCCCGAGCGUUGUCCGGAUUUAUUGGGCGUAAAGCGAGCGCAGGCGGUUAGAUAAGUCCGAAGUUAAAGGCUGUGGCUUAACCAUAUUACGCUUUGGAAACUGUUUAACUUGAGUGCAAGAGGGGAGAGUGGAAUUCCAUGUGUAGCGGUGAAAUGCGUUGAGAUCGGAAAGAACACCAAUGGCGAAAGCACUCUGCUGGGCCGACACUGACGCUGAGGAGCGAAAGCGUGGGGAGCGAACAGGAUUAGAUACCCCGGUAGUCCCUGUCUCUUAUACA